ACCCGUAGGCUGAAUCCAUGCACCUACUUUUUGAGGGACUACUAUAAAAGUAGCAAAAAUAGGGAAAUAACCUUUAGUAGGAAAAAAGAAAAACAGAAACAUAAAGGUGAAAAAAUACGCAGUCUUUCAAUUCACUAAUUAGAUAUUUUGCGACAAAAUCCUGUUAUGCUACAAAUGCAGAACAUCAACCCUGUUCUUUUUAAAUACCUAAAAGGAUACUCAUGAGACCCCCCAGAACCCCUCAGUGCUGUGCAAAUGCUGCAAGAAGGUAGAAAGAGGGAAGCAGCUGAGAGAGAAGAAGAAAAUAGCAGAAAGCAAAAAGAUUUAAACAAAGACAUGGACUGUCACUAUUAUUAUUAAUGUUGAAUAAAUCUUCCAUAUAC